GACCCUCAGGCUCUGCCCUCCUGCUUCCUGCCUUUUCCCCAUUUCUAGAGGUGCUGAGACGGGAGGCAGGGCAGGGACGGAGCACUUGUGACACCUGCGUUUUCCUGGACCUCUCCUCCUCCCCACCCCCCGUCCCAGCGGUCCGUUUUCAUUAAGCUGCCCCUUCUCGCCUGGGGAAGAGCGCCCCUCCUGGAAGUAGGAAAUGGGUUUCAGCCCUACCGUUCCUGUGCUACAGUCCCGAGCCUCAGUUUCCCCCAAUUAGUUUUGCUUUGCCUCAUCUGGCUUGGAAGAUCAAUGUAACACAGAAAACUAGAAAGGAAACGGACGUUUGUUGAGUUCCCGCAAGGCCAAGUGCACCGACUGCGUGAUUGGCCACACAUAGUCCUCAUUUCGCGGUGUUCUUAGAACUCUCAUUUCACAGAUCCUUAAAUGCACAACGCUUGACAGAUUCGCUUUUUCUCGCAUAGCCCGUGAGUGGCAGAGGAGUCAGUCAGCUUGAGCAGCUGAACUCCAAAGUGGCUUUUCUUGCGUCAGAGGGUUCCUCUGGCCUGUUGGUUGGAACUGUGCUGCAGCCAAACCCUAGCCCAGGAUAGCUGUUUCCGGACUUUCUCCCCUUGAGAAUUCUCGUUUUUCAGGUUCCUUUUUCCUAGCCCAGCAUGCUCUGCUCUGCUUCCGCCUUGAUUCCUUCAGAAAUGAAAUGCAGCAAACAUUUGAGUGGUGCGGGGAGAUGCAUACUGGGAGCCCAGAGCCUUGGACCCCUGUCCUGGCUCUGCCACUAACAGUGUGGCCUUGGGCGAGUCCCUUGUCUUCUCGGUGCUUUAGCUUCCCUUUGAAUAAGAUAGGUAAGUGCCUUCAGACUGGCGGCAAGCUGUGGUCCACUUCUCUCUUCUUGUCCUCCUGCAGGCUCUCCGCGGAGGCCCAGACCCCUCUGCUCCCCAUGGGCAGCUGCCAGGGAGGGCACAACCUGUAUCUCUGUCUGGCCCACCACCCACCUCUGGUCUGUGCCACUCUGAUCCUGCUGCUUCUGGGCCUCUCUGGCCUAGGCCUUGGUGGCUUCCUGCUCACUCCCAGGAGGACUCUGCGCAGUCCCGACAUCCCCCAGGACUGGGUCUCCUUCUUGAGAUCGUUCGGCCAGCUGACCCUGUGCCCCGUGACUGAGCAAGUCACAGGGACGUGGCAUGGGUCUCACGUCGUGGGCUUGCUGACCACCUUGAAUUUUGGAGAUGGUCCAGACAGGAACAAGACCCAGACAUUCCAAGCCCAGGUCCAGGGUAGUCAGAUGGGAUUGAAAGGGCCUUCUGCAGAAGAGCUGGUCCUUGUUACAGCCCGGGUGACCACAGAAAACCCCCCCAAAACCUGCCUGUAUUUCAGUGCCGAUCCAGACCUCCUGCCCUCCAGCCAGCCACCCAUCUCCUGCUUGGAGGAGGGAGCCGGAAAUGUCACCCUGAGCCCUAGGAUGGCCGAGGAGUGUGUCAGGGUCUGGAGCCAGGAGGGCCUUGUGCUCACCAAGCUGCUCACCACGGAGGAGCUGGCCCUGUGUGGCUCCAGGCUACUGGUUUUGGGCUUCUUCCUGCUUCUCUUUUGUGGCCUUCUCUGCUUUCUCUCUGCUGUUUGCUUCCACCCGCGACGGGAGUCCCACUGGUCUAGAACCCGGCUCUGAGGGCACAGCUCUGAGGACACUGGCCUAGUUCCUGCCUCAUUCUCAGCUUCAGCUGUGCCCUAGAAAAUAACUGUGGACGUGGAAACAGUUCAGGCCCAGGGAAGGGCCAGAGGAACUAGACGUUCAAGAUCAACUUGGCUUAUUUUGCUUCGGGCUAGGCCAGACUGUUCCAACCAACUUCUUGAGACAGGAAAUGGUGGAACCCUCUCAGCCUUCCUAAAAUCUGAGCAGACUGGGAAGGAGUACUUUUUGGCCCCAGGCACAUCCUGGGCUCCUAAGGCCAUCCCCAUUGGAAAUGAGUACCUGUGUGAAUCAACUUCUUGGGCCUUAGUUCUGAGUUGGAAGAGACUGACAAAAAGUGGAGAGCUGGAAUGUGGGAGGAAAUAAAAGGCUUUUUUUGCCCAAUGUU